rnacentral:rRNA from 1 species
GGCUGUCGUCAGCUCGUGGCGUGAGAUGUUGGGUUAAGUCCCGCAACGAGCGUAACCCUUGUUUUUAGUUGCCUUUCGAGGAUAUUUAGAAAGACUGCCGAUUAUAAAUCGGAGGAAGGUAAGGACGACGUCAAGUCAUCAUGCCCCUUACACUCUGGGCUACACACGUGCUACAUUGGGUAGAACAAUAAGUUGCUAAGUUGCGAAACCAAGCGAAUCUUCAAAUCUACUCUAAGUUCGGAUUGUAGGCUGCAACUCGCCUACAUAAAGAUGGAAUCGCUAGUAAUCGCUGGUCAGCUACACAGCGGUGAAUCCGUUCCCGGGCCUUGUACACACCGCCCGUCACACCAUGGAAGCUGGUCACACCCAAAGUCGUUAUUCUAACCGUUUGGAGGAAGGCGCCUAAGGUAGGAUUGGUGACUGGGGUGAAGUCGUAACAAGGUAGCCGUAUCGGAAGGUGCGGCUGGAUCACCUCCUU